GUAGGGAAUAUUGGACAAUGGGCGAAAGCCUGAUCCAGCCAUGCCGCGUGAUGGAUGAAGGCCCUCUGGGUUGUAAACAUCUUUUAUCAGGGAAGAAACAUCUCGUUUCUACGAGACUUGACGGUACCUGAUGAAUAAGCACCGGCUAACUCCGUGCCAGCAGCCGCGGUAAUACGGAGGGUGCAAGCGUUAUCCGGAUUUACUGGGUUUAAAGGGUGCGUAGGCGGGAAAAUAAGUCAGUGGUGAAAGCACCGGGCUCAACUCGGUAACUGCCAUUGAUACUGUUUUUCUUGAAUGCGAUUGAGGUAAGCGGAAUGUUGCAUGUAGCGGUGAAAUGCUUAGAUAUGUUACAGAACACCAAUUGUGAAGACAGCUUACUAAGUCGUGAUUGACGCUGAGGCACGAAAGCGUGGGGAGCAAACAGGAUUAGAAACCCGGGUAGUCC
rnacentral:rRNA from 1 species